GGAGGGAUCAUUAUUGAAUGGCCCCCGAUGGGCCUUCAACCCAUCAAGACCUGUGGACCUUAAUCUGUGCUUCGGCGCCGUGGAUGCGGCGUCGCUUUUAUGCUGAAAGUUGGAUUUCGUCUGAUUAAUCACAAAAGAUUUAAAACUUUCAACAAAGGAUCUCUUGGCUCUCGCAUCGAUGAAGAACGCAGCGAAGCGCGAAAUGUAGUGUGAAUCGCAGAACUUGUGAAUCAUCGAAUCUUUGAACGCACAUUGCGCCUCUCGUGAGGGAGGCAUGCCUGUCUGAGUGUCGUUUAUAUCUCUAGGCCUCACUUUCUUGGUGAGGGUCUGUCUUGGGCUUCGUCUGCUCGGCGUUGUCUGAAUGUCAUUGGUCUCAACUGUGGACGAGUCCCUGUAGGGCGGACCGCAGUGGGACCCUAAGCCCCUCUUGAAUUUGACCUCAGAUCAGGUAGGAACACCGCCUGAACUUAAGCAUAUCAAUAAGGCGAGGAACAGAAACCAACAGGGAUUCCCCUAGUAGUGGCGAAUGAAGCGGGAAAAGCUCAAGUUUGAAAUCUGGCGGGCGACCUCCAGAGUUGUAAGCUGAAGAGGGUUUGACCGACAUGGCCUGGGCCCAAUUCCCUUGGGACAGGGAGUCAAGGAGGGUGAGAACCCCGUGUGUGGCUCGUGGUCUUUGUCCUUGUGUCGUUCCCUCCAAGAGUCGGGUUGUUUGGGAAUGCAGCUCAAAAUGGGUGGUAAAUUUCAUCUAAAGCUAAAUAUUGGCGAGAGACCGAUAGCGAACAAGUAGAGUGAUCGAAAGAUGAAAAGCACUUUGAAAAGAGAGUGAAACAGCGCGUGAAAUUGUUGAAAGGGAAGCGUUUGGCAUCAGCCCAUGGCGCUGGUUGAUCAACCAGGCUUCUGUCUGGUGCACUUGACCAGCGUCGGGUCAGCGUCGACUCUGCCUCCUGGAGAAAGGUCUUGGGGAUGUGGCUCUCUUCGGGGAGCGUUAUAACCCUCGACGUCAUGUGGGAGGCGGGGUCGAGGUCCGCGGUCUAACCUAGGACGCUGGCGUAAUGGUUCCAAGCGACCCGUCUUGAAACACGGACCAAGGAGUCUAACAUCUAUGCGAGUGUUUGGGUGUCAAGCCCGUCCGCGCAAUGAAAGUGAAUGUAGGCGGGAGCCCUUAGGGUGCACCGCCGACCGGUCCAGGGGUUUACCGAAGGAUCUGAGUAAGAGCAUAGCUGUUGGGACCCGAAAGAUGGUGAACUAUGCCUGAAUAGGGUGAAGCCAGAGGAAACUCUGGUGGAGGCUCGAAGCGGUUCUGACGUGCAAAUCGAUCGUCGAAUUUGGGUAUAGGGGCGAAAGACUAAUCGAACCAUCUAGUAGCUGGUUCCUGC
rnacentral:misc_RNA from 1 species